UACGAAGGGUGCAAGCGUUAAUCGGAAUUACUGGGCGUAAAGCGCACGUAGGUGGUUCAGUAAGUUGGAAGUGAAAUCCCCGGGCUCAACCUGGGAACUGCUUUCAAAACUGCUGAGCUAGAGUACGGUAGAGGGUGGUGGAAUUUCCUGUGUAGCGGUGAAAUGCGUAGAUAUAGGAAGGAACACCAGUGGCGAAGGCGACCACCUGGACUGAUACUGACACUGAGGUGCGAAAGCGUGGGGAGCAAACAGG
rnacentral:rRNA from 1 species